rnacentral:rRNA from 1 species
UACGUAGGGUGCGAGCGUUAAUCGGAAUUACUGGGCGUAAAGCGUGCGCAGGCGGUUUUGUAAGCCAGAUGUGAAAUCCCCGGGCUCAACCUGGGACCUGCAUUUGUGACUGCAUCGCUAGAGUACGGUAGAGGGGGAUGGAAUUCCGCGUGUAGCAGUGAAAUGCGUAGAUAUGCGGAGGAACACCGAUGGCGAAGGCAAUCCCCUGGACCUGUACUGACGCUCAUGCACGAAAGGCGUGGGGAGCAAACAGG